ensembl:piRNA 21ur-2864 ncRNA
UACGUCGGUUGAUUGAAUUGG